rnacentral:miRNA from 1 species
UUCACUGUCUUUCUUAAGGUACUU